UACGUAGGUGGGAAGCGUUAUCCGGAAUUAUUGGGCGUAAAGCGCGCGCAGGCGGUUUUUUAAGUCUGAUGUGAAAGACCCCGGCUCAACCGGGGCAGGUCAUUGGAAACUGGGAAACUUGAGUGCAGAAGAGGAAAGCGGAAUUCCACGUGUAGCGGUGAAAUGCGUAGAUAUGUGGAGGAACACCAGUGGCGAAGGCGGCUUUCUGGUCUGUAACUGACGCUGAGGCGCGAAAGCGUGGGGAGCAAACAGG
rnacentral:rRNA from 1 species